UACGUAGGGGCCGAGCGUUUGUCCGGAGUUAUUGGGCGUAAAGCGCGCGCAGGCGGCCUCGCGCGCCCGACGUGAAAGCCCCCGGCUUAACCGGGGAGGGUCGUUGGGGACGGCGGGGCUUGAGGGCGGGAGAGGUCGGUGGAAUUCCCGGUGUAGUGGUGAAAUGCGUAGAGAUCGGGAGGAACACCUGUGGCGAAGGCGGCCGACUGGGCCGACCCUGACGCUGAGGCGCGAAGGCGUGGGGAGCGAACGGG
rnacentral:rRNA from 1 species